UGUCCAAUCUUGGCGUCGAGAACUAUUGCUUUGAAUGUUCCUCCCAGAGUUAGAACAGAUCUCCAAGAGGGUUGGAGCUUUUCAAAGUCACGAAACUCUGGUCCUCUUCUUCUCAACGCAUUUUCCUUCUCUAUCGCUGCGAAAUUUUGCACCUGGAAAGAUUGGUGUUGGUCUUUUCAUAAGAGAAAAACUCAGAAAAAACUCACAUGGAGAUCGGACGAAAGAUCAUAAGAGAUGAAGGACAGAUCGCUCUUCGUCUCUUUCAUGGCAGCGAAUAGCAGCGGCUUCAGCUUGGACGAAGCCUGAGCGGUCGGCAGUUGGUAGACAGCUACUUGCCAACCAUGUCGAAACGUUGAUAAUAGCAAUCCUAUAAAACACAACGUGAUCUUUGAAAAACGAAACACAUGGCUAAUUCUUCCACAUACCAAUUACCUGACUUUCGGCUAAGGUGAUGCAAGAAUACUUUCCCAAAGGCCUGAACACUCUUUUGACCUGUCCAGGCCUUUAUCAUGAACAACAUACUCUAAUUAUCUGGAUGAGCUUUGAAGUUUUACUCCCCCCAGGCCUCAUCCACAGCAACCUCUCCAUCAAAGUCACCAGCUGUGAGUUUAAUGCUUUACUUAACUUUGAUCUAAUACUGAACAUUCUUAUUGAAUAUUGAACAGGAGGCAUCCCUGGUAAAAAAAAAUAUUCAAUAAGAAUGUUCAGUAUUAGCCUCCUGUUAAACACCAUCCUGUUUCAGUCUCUCUCCACCUAGCUGGCAAUGAUGUGGUAGAUUACAUGGCACUUCUCUCUUUCCACUCCCGUCUGCACUUGCACCUGUCUGUCCAAAGACUGUGGUCUUUCUUGGCUUUUGACUGGGACCUGACAUCCUUGGAGUUUGGAAGCAUUUUUUCCAUUGUUUGUUUUUCACAGAGAAAGAAAAGAACUUGAACAGCGAGACAAUGGCAUAGCUAUCUCCACCACAUUUGAUUCCUCUCCAUGAUGACAAAGCUAAGCAAGGACCAUUGCCAUCCAUCUGCAAAGUUCCAGUGGAUCCCCAAGAGCGUGCUUGAAAGCUUGCAAGGCAUCCAUUUGAAAAAUAAGACUAAGGAUGAUCCAAGAGGAGAAGGCUAUGUAGCAUUUACUAGCUCCAGGCUGUGCAAAGAUGAAGAGCAUGCCUAUAUUCCAUGAUGCCAGAGCUAACAGUACCAUUGAGCUCCACAAACUCAUAGAAACCUCCAUAUGAUCGUUGUUGCUACCCCUUGAGAGCAAAAAACAAGAGCGCUUCCAAUCUAGCUGACGUUGCUGCUGCUGCUUGGGUCGACCAGCAUUUCCAUUUCAAAGAAGAACCCUAGAGAAGAGGGUAUCCCAAAGUCCCCCAAUCCAGAGGAGCAAAGCAAAAGGAGAAAGUUAGCAUUGGACACAAGGGAAAAAAACCCUCUUCUCUCCCUUCUCUGUCCUGUGAAAAAAGACUUUGGUCCAAGUUAAAGUGAUUGGAAGUAAUGUUGUGUGGCAGCAUGAGAGAGAGAGAGAGAGAGAGAGAGAGAGAGAGAGAGUUGGACGGGAGUGGAAAGAGAGAAGUGCCACAUCAUUGCCAACUAGGUGGAGAGAGACUGAAAUAGGAUGGUGUUUAACAGGAGGCGGGAUGCAUCCCGGAGCAUAUAAUGGACUGUGGUUUGUAGCAAAUUGUCUAGGUAAUGAGGACGAGUAGCAAGAUUUAUUAAUUAGAUAUUAUUUUGAAGGAUUGUUGAAAAAUUAUAAACAUGAACCAUCAACCCUCUUUUCCUUAAGGAAAAUCUAAAGAGCUUGGUUGAGCUACUUGCACUUCCAUGUUGGAAUUUCUCAUUUGCCAGUAUAAAAGUCCAACAGAGGGAUCACAACCCACAAUCUCUACAACUCGCAUUCUAUCAUGUCUUCGCAGUUUAUUAUCUGCUUAGUCUUUGCUCAUGUAGCGCUUGCAGGGACAAGCAACGCUGUAAGCUAUUAGUUUUUUUUAAAAUGCCCACACUAGAACUAUAGCUAAUCAGACUCAAUCUGGUUUUGAUGCAGGCAUGCAACUUUGAGGAUAGCUGUGACAAGAACUCGGAGGUUAUAAGCACUUCCAAUUGUUACAAGCCCAAUGGCCAGCUCCAAAGGAGCAGCAUCAAUCUUAACGAUUGCUUCAGCAACAAUGGAGGAACCCUCAACUGUGGCAGAAACUUUAGUGCCUCGUGCCAGAAUGUAGUGAUCACCCGUGGUACCAUCCUCCAGCUCCAAGUCCUGCUUCCAUCAAUCCCCAGUGCUAUGGCAAUGGCCAGUAUUAUACCUCAGUACUGAUUAACAAGUGUGUGCAGAACAACAGUGGAUUCCUCCAGCAGCAAGUGAGUGAAGUUUCUCAUGAUAAAGCGAUGUUAUCUUAAUAUUGUUUUUUGAUUUUAGGGCUCUUGCAUCUUAACAUUGAGGCACCGCUCUUUCUUCACGGAUGCCACAACGAUUUGGCUCGGGGUUAUUCCCCAAGAGCUUUUGCACACUUUUCUUCCGUGUCACAAACAUGCUCAGUCUUGUUUUUCGCAAAGUAGUGAUUUACCACCUUCUUGUUCAAGGACCACCAUUCUAACAACGAUGCCGAUCAUCACAGCAUUAGCUCACAGCAGUGCCCUGGAUCCUUCGAGAAAGAAUUCCCGAUUUUCACACUAACAAGAGAACCAAGCAAAGUUCACGAAUCUUCGAGCUUCCUCCUCCACUGACCAGCUCUUGGAAUCGACUCCAAAGUGCAAAAUCCGUGAGUUAUCCCCGUCAAGCAGCCAUAUACUGUUGCUCCCAUCAGUCUCUACGGCUUUGCAAUUUUAGGGUUCUUGCAUCUUAACAUUGAGGGCGCCGCUCUUUCUUCGCGGCUCGCUUAUACGCGGAUGCCACAACGAUUUCUCGCGGCUUCCAUGGCACGGGUCAGCGAUUCGUUGUUCGCUGCCUUGUUCGACUGAUGGACGCCACAGCGCUUUCUUCUCUCUCUUUUUUUUCUCUCGCGCAUUUAGCACUGGGGCACUGCGAAGAUUCUAUCGCGUGUGCUUUGCCCGUUCAGCUAAUGCUACAUUGCUAAUCUUCUUUCGCAAUGUCCUGGGAUUUCUUUCAUCUCUUCUUCUCUGGACAAAGAUCUCAUCUCAUCAUGUAGGAGAGAUUCUUCAUUCUUCUCGCUUUUUCGUGCAUCUUUUCUGCGAUUAAUUUCCAGUGCGUGUCGCUCAUUCACACAAUGCACAGAUUAAAUCUUGUCGAUCUCUCCUGUGGCUUUCUGAGAGAUUCACGCGAUGAAUCUUCUCAUGCAGUUGGCAGGAGAACAAAAAACCAUCUUUCCUUCGAUUUCGAUGACACACCAAGCACCAUACUUGCAUUCGAACGGGUAUGAUUAAUAAAAAACGCCGUUUAAAACGCGUGUAUAAUACGGCGUUUAAACACCAAGAAUAUUUUUAAAAACCCUAAAGAAUAUGCUUUCUUUUACUUAGGAUUAGGGCUCAUGUAAAAUCAGGGUUCGAAAAAAACCGUAAAAUCAGGGUUCGAAUAAAACUGAAAACCAUUAUACCCGUUCGAAAAAAAGCUAAACGGGUAUUAAACGUUCGAUACCCGUUCGAAUCCGGUUGCGUUCGAAUGUUCGGAUGCAAGUAUGCCAAGGAUCAUCGUUUAGGACUAUUUGUUUGCAAAAAAAGUAUAGCGAUGGUACAUCUGUACAGUGCGUUUCUCUAGAGAAAACUCGCGCAAAAACCCCCAGAGAGAAUGAGAAAAGAGACCUUUUUCUUCUCACUGUCACUUGAUCCGCUUGAGCUUCUUUAGUACGUCCUUGACGUUGGGGCCUUUGUCCCACGAAGCAAACUGGCCCGCGACCUUCUUUAUCAGCACUCCAGCGUUAAAAAUCGCGGUGGAGUCUCUCAGAUUACUCGGCUGUGGCAAUCCAAACACCACCCGGUUCACGUCUUCGUCGACUUGCAGGCUGUAGACUUCGCUAAAAAUCUGCAAAGCAAGAACAACUUGUAAGCUCUUACUGCUACCAGAAACGAGAGUCUAGCGAGCUUACUUCACACAAUCUCUGGUCUGCUUGUAUGUGAGGCUCACGAGCCCGCGAAACAACGUUUAUGACGAGGAUUCCUUCGGGUUCCAGAGCAGCUUUCGCACUGCGGAGGAAUGUUUCGAGAAGGAAUUCCUCUGGAGGGCAGCUUAGCCCAUUACUGCAACGGAGUUUUCUGAUCACUUCGACAAAGAUAAACAGAAAAGACAGAACCGCACCUUGAAAUCCAUUCGUUGGCGUUAGUAAAGCCUCCGACUGGAUGAGGUUGGGAUUACGUUUAAAGAACAGGCGUCAAAAGAAGGCCUUUUUUUUGUCGGAUGAUACAACAUCCUCUACAAGCAUGGUACCCGUUAAUGGAGAAUUGAUCUGAACAAAGGAGAGAAAAGUCAAUGGUUUCUGUUAGUCGAUGCACGGCAUUGUUACCUCCUCCAGCAGAGUCCCUUUACAAACUCCAUCGUGUGGCAGCAGGAAACUGUAGAUGUUCGCAACCAAGAGUUAGAAACCUUGACAAGGAAAAGCAGGAAAGAGAAGUGAGGAACUUACGGUACUCCUGAGUCACAAUCUAAUGGUACAAGCUCUCUCACUAGUGGGGACAGGAGGUUCUGACCAUUUGGAAAGUGGGAAUAUGCAUAAGGUGAGUGGAAACGAAUACCUGAAGUUCAGUAGCGGUCUGACAGUCAGUUUCGAGGUAAAUCUGUCCGGAAAGAAGAAACACAGGUUAUUUCCGAAUGAAUCGAUGAAAGUUUUAUAGUCAGCAAGCCCUACCAUGAUAAGCCAAGCGGCCUUGGCACUUUCGACCACUUGCCAUUGUCCUUCCUCGGAUGAAUUGAGCAACUCGUGAUCCUUGGCCUGUCGCAAAAGUAUCAAGAACUUGGAGGCUUUCGAAAUGAAAUCGAACAUACCUUUGGCACCAAAAACACAGCGCACGCAUCAGGCAUGACUGCCUGUCCAAUCUUGGCGUCGAGAACUAUUGCUUUGAAUGUUCCUCCCAGAGUGAGAACAGAUCUCCGAGAGGGUUGGAGCUUUUCAAGGUCACGAAACUCUGGUCCUCUUCUUCUCAACGCAUUUUCCUUCUAUAUCGCUGCGAUAUUUUGCGCCUGGAAACAUUGGUGUUGGUCUUUUCAUAAGAGAAAAACUCAGAAAAAAACUCACAUGGAGAUUGGAAGAA
rnacentral:lncRNA from 1 species